rnacentral:tRNA from 1 species
GAGGGUAUAGCUCAGGAGUAGAGCACAUGCUUGGCGUGUGCAAGGUCCUGGGUUCAAGUCCCGGUACCUCUA